rnacentral:lncRNA from 1 species
CAGGGCUUUGCCUGGGCAUGCCCACAGCAGACCGGGGGCCCACCUGCGUACCGGGAGAGUGGGGUGGAGCCACCGGGAAUUCACGCCUGAUGCCCGGGGAGGAGUCUGGCCUCUUCAGCUCCUGUGUGGUGGCCUGAUAUUCAGUCUGUGAGCUGGGAGCCUGUUGGCAGGUCCCUCUUUUUAUUUUCGCUGAGAGCUUUCUUUUACUAAAUGCCACCAUCCUUACCUUUCAAGGUGUCUGCGUGCCUAAUUUUUCCUGGUUGUUAGACAAGAACCCGGAUUUUAGUUGAACUCUGGAGCAAAAAUCCUGCAUCAUUUGUAGGUGGGUGUCAUUGUGACUGGCUGCUACCUCCCCAUGAGUCUUCUAAAAUAAAACCUGCAAAUUCACAUCUUCCCCAUGCUUCCAGAGAAUGCAUAUUCUUCCUUUGAAAAAAGAAAACCAGGUAGUCGUACAGUGUCCAGAAGGCAAAAGGACAAGUAUGCACUGCCCUACUUACCUACUUUCCACACUGCUGCACAGGAAAAUCUGACAGAGGACAAUAACAAACAUCUCACCAGCUCAUGCGUUCUUUUUUGAUCCUAAUUCCGAGAGACUCACCAAAGACAUGAAGAGAAAACAAACAAUACUUUUCUUGGAAAUAUUGUAAUUGCUGGUACAUUUGUUGUUCUGGCAUAAAGUAGAAAUUGUCAGGUAAACAUUGCUUCCUUUUGGAUCAAAAAGAAAUUUAACCAAAUAAAUGCAAGAGGUAUGAGGGAAGAUAAUGGGAAAUAAAUGAGAUUUGAGAAAUCAGUGGAGGUUCAAGUGGUUUUUUUUUUCUUUUGUAGUUGAUAAUACUCUGUUUUAAAUCAGUGAGUUUUACUUAUAUAUGCUUGUCCUUUUUUUUUUCUAGUUACCAGAACAAUACUCAGUGAACUUAUGAAUAUAUGGUAAAUAUUAAACACAUCCCACUUGGAUGAGAAGAUAUGUGAGUCGAUGAGUAUAGCUAAGUCUAAAGUUAGAUGUGUUCCAUAAACAUAGUGUUUAUGGAGUUGGUGCAUAUUCACUUCUCAGUAAG